CAGUCGCCGCGGUAAUACGGAGGGGGCUAGCGUUAAUCGGAUUUACUGGGCGUAAAGGGCACGUAGGUGGUUAUUUAAGUGAGAUGUGAGAGCCCCGGGCUUAACCUGGGAACUGCAUCUUAUACUGGGUAACUGGAGUGCAGUAGAGGGUAGUGGAAUUUCCGGUGUAGCGGUGAAAUGCGUAGAUAUCGGAAGGAACACCAGUGGCGAAGGCGGCUACCUGGACUGAGACUGACACUGAGGCGCGAGAGCGUGGGGAGCAAACAGGAUUAGAGACCCCAGUAGUCCCUGUCUCUUAUAC
rnacentral:rRNA from 1 species